AACAGAGGUCCCGAGCGUUAGGCGGAAUCACUGGGCUUAAAGCGUGUGUAGGCGGAUGCCUAAGUACCUUGUGAAAUCCCACGGCUCACCCGUGGAACUGCUUGGUAUACUGGGUGUCUUGAGCCACUUAGGGGCUACCGGAACAAAUGGUGGAGCGGUGAAAUGCGUAGAUAUCAUUUGGAACGCCAAUGGUGAAAACAGGUAGCUGGGAGUGUGCUGACGCUGAGACACGAAAGCCAGGGGAGCAAACGGG
rnacentral:rRNA from 1 species